GGGUAAAUAGUUUAAUAAAAAUAUGGGUUUUGUAAUCCUAAGAUGUAAUAAAAUUACUUUGUCCU
rnacentral:tRNA from 1 species